CUGACGUGUAAAAAGCAACUGGGGUUAAAAAUUGGGGGGAAAUCAGUAAAUUAUGGGACAGUUUCAAAGAAGAGUUUGGGGCAGAAACAUGGGUAUGUCAGAGAGAGAUGGAUAACAAGGGCUGCCUUGGAGAAGAAGAGAGAGGAAAACUGAAUUCUGCCUAAUUUGAGCAGGGGAAGUACAUAUGAUGCAAGUUUAGAAAACCACUGGGGCUCAGUUUCAGAAAGAUGUGAACCUUUCUCUCCGAUUAAUGGGGGUAGGCUGGGGUCAGGGAGUAAAUCUACAAAGGCCCAGUGUCCUGAGUUUGGGGCCUGGUUGGAAGGCACUGGAGAAACAGGGGGAGAGAUUAGGCCUUCAACAGAAGCUGGCUGGGCUGAGUUCUGUGAUCUGUCUUAAGAUGGGAUUCAGUUAAGAUGGUCGCACUAAGAGUAAAGAGGAGCUCCAGCUGUGAGAAGGUGUUUGUUUAAAGAGGUUAGUUUCCCCUCCACCUCCACAACUACUCACGGUCCAUGUCCAUCACCGGUCAGCUGGGCUUUCUGACCCACGCCAUCGUCACUCAGGGAUCCAGACUCCACCAUCUGAGAUGUCAUCAGUCACCAUGGAGAGAGAAGGGAAGAAAGGGAAUCAUAUGCUGGCUCUGAAGUGCUUCCACCCAGAAGAGACACAUUUUUGCUCAUAUCUCAUUGGCCAAAGCAAGUUGUAUGGCCACACCUAAUUUCUCAAAGGUGGGAAGGUACCUGGAAGAGAACAGGGAACACGGGUGAGCAGCACCACACCUUUCUGUUGUAAAACGGGAGACCAGUUGUGACAACAAAGGAAGAGGCACUGUCAGGCAGAGGAUCGUCCUUAUGGAAGAUGACACUCUGGAAACUCAUUCCCUUCAAAGUAACCCUGCCGCCUACCUUUAGAAAAAGCCUUUCUGUAUCUCUAAGGGUGCACAUGCCCCAGUGUGAAGACCACUGCUGGCUCUGCAGAGCCUUCCUAACUCUUUUAGACACUUUAGGUCCAGGGACCUCUGCCUGAGUUCCUGGGGUCAUUGUCGCAUUUGGAAGCUAUUGGGAGUUGGUUACCUUUUCAUAUCUGUGUGUGUCGUGUUUGCCUAGCAUGCUGCAGUGUCCUGAAGGUCGUUGCAAUCAUGUUUUCAAGUUUUUAUGACCCCACGCUAUCUAGCGAGGACAGUCAAAAAAUACAUGACUUCUGCUUGA